rnacentral:lncRNA from 1 species
AUUGAUUCCUGUGCCAUGCCUCCUGUGAUUCAAUUGGUUUUUUUAUACUAUUGAAUAUUGCAUCAGUUACUUUUUACUCAUACAAUCUCUCUCUCUCUCCGUCUCCCCCCCCCCCCCUCUUUCUCCCAUCACCUGCGGGAAAAAAAAGGAAAUUUAUAUAUUGGAGCUUGUCUGACAGGAAGGAUUUUAUGCCACUGGGUGGUUGGACCGGAACCUCAUUCGGCUCUGUUCCAAAUUUGAUUACUAUUGGAAAGAUGAUCCAUCUUCUUUCACAUUGAACCCUUGUUUUUCCUUGUUCCCCCAGUUUAUGUUUAAUCUCCGACAGUCACAGUUUGUGUAUAGAGGACGGGGAAAUUAAUAUACUGCAUCUUUUUUGCAAUACUAAUAUUUAGAUUGUAUUGGUUUAAUCUGUUGUUAUCUAUAGAUUUUAGCUUUGUGUCCAGUUUGCUUGGUGUUGACUCUGCCAUUCUUCAUAAGAAAGCAUAACAUUUCUGUUCUCAUUGAUUCCUGUGCCAUGCAACCUGUGAUUCAAUUGGUUUUCUUAUAUGCUCUUGAAUAUUUUAGCAUCAGUUACUUAAAAAAAUUUUAUUGGAGCUUGUCUGACAGGAAGGAUUUGAUGCCACUCGGUGGUUGGACCGGAACCUCAUUCGGCUCUGUUCUAAAUUUGGUGACUAUCGGAAAGAUGAUCCAUCAUCGUUCACAUUGAACCCUUGUUUUUCCUUGUUCCCUCAGUUUAU